rnacentral:rRNA from 1 species
GAUGAACGCUGGCGGCGUGCUUAACACAUGCAAGUCGAACGGUGAAGGCGGAGCUUGCUCUGCUGGAUUAGUGGCGAACGGGUGAGUAACACGUGAGCAAUCUGCCCCUGACUCUGGGAUAAGCGCUGGAAACGGCGUCUAAUACUGGAUACGAGCUGCGAAGGCAUCUUCAGCAGCUGGAAAGAAUUUCGGUCAGGGAUGAGCUCGCGGCCUAUCAGCUUGUUGGUGAGGUAAUGGCUCACCAAGGCGUCGACGGGUAGCCGGCCUGAGAGGGUGACCGGCCACACUGGGACUGAGACACGGCCCAGACUCCUACGGGAGGCAGCAGUGGGGAAUAUUGCACAAUGGGCGAAAGCCUGAUGCAGCAACGCCGCGUGAGGGACGACGGCCUUCGGGUUGUAAACCUCUUUUAGCAGGGAAGAAGCGAAAGUGACGGUACCUGCAGAAAAAGCGCCGGCUAACUACGUG